AUGAGAUGACCAUGCUCCCAGAGACAGGAGAGAGGAAUAAGAGUUCAGAGAAGGAAAGGAAACUGCUUUGGGUUAAAAGUAACUAAUAUCACAUCAAGGAACUGAUUAACAUCCCCAGUGAAAUAAAAUUGGAGAAUUCAGCUGUUGAAUAGAAUUACUGUAAUAUACUGACGUCUAAGACUAUCUCCUUCAAUCAAUUUACAGCUGAACAGAUCCUCCGACACUGUAGCAUGCACAUUUCUCUUCCUUAUACCUACUGAGCACGGAGCUGGGAAAAGGAUUCACAUGGUCAGCUUGAGGUGACUACUCAAGAUACAAGGCAGAGAAGAAUCAGACUGAAAGUCUCUCGUCAAACACAACACUGCCUCCAAAAAACCUGAAAAAGACAUACCAGAAAGUCGCAGGACUAAUAGGAAAGGGCUGUCCUAAAAUAUUGACAUCCUUAUCCUGAAGCUGUUCUGCAUGGGAAGAUCUCUACUCCUGCACAGAGUCCCAUUGAAGUCACUGGAGGUUUCCCAGGAGGUUCCAGGGUUUGCAAAGAGCAGUUUACAGAACAGAAUGCUGCCAGAGUCCUACUCCGCAGCACAGAGGUAGCUGUGGAAUCUACUGCAUUGGUAGCCUUAUGCAUCCUGUAUGUAGCUUGAGGAUUUGCCCAAUCAAAGAGUAACAGAAGGAACAUAGUUGUAUUUGAACAUUUUGUACUGAUUGGGCACUGACUUCAUUUUAUUAAAUCACAAUAGUAGCUACUCCCACUACUGUUGCUAUCCCAACAAGCUAAAAAUCCAUGCUGUAGUUUGCAUUUGUCACUGUGGCACUCUGUACCUCAAAGCAAUACCCUGGAACCCCCACAUUCAGCACUGUCAUAUAAUUAUGAUUCGUUUUGUACUAAGUAUGCCUUGUGAGGUAUCAUUUUGAAAGUCUUGAUCUGUUGAACAUUAGUAUCCUGUUGGAUUGUAUGAGCUAUCAUAUGAUAAGUCAUGAAGUUUUGCGAUGUGUAUGUAUCAGAAAUAAUGUUGUGAGGUUGGGAAUACCCACAACUAGCCUUUCAGGUGCAACAGUGGAGUAGCCAGAUGUGCUGAUGUCCACACUCCCAGUGACCAUCCCAGAAGACUUCUCAGAGAAAGCACGUAGACAAUGGAGAACGUUUGACCGAUGGGGGUGGACCCUCAUGUCACAGGCAUACAUCUUUCCAGCAACCUGGAAGAAACUAUAAAAAAAAGGGAAGUGACAUCAUGACUUGGCCUCACUUCCCUCACAACUCAACACCUGGAAACACAUCUGGAGGACAAAGAUUUUUAACUGGGGAGGCUGGCCCUGGGUGGAGGAGAGUUCCGGCCUAUGUAUUCAAGGUCUGUGACUUAUUUGUACUAUCUAUCAGUGUGAGACACUGCUUGAUUCAAAUAUUGUGUAGUUUAUAGAACUCAAAUUGUAU